CUCUUAACGACUAUGAACAGGACACUGAUUUAGGCAUUAAGUACUCAGCUGUCAACACAAUAGAAAAGGUCCUCACCCUCUUCGGGGUGGAUCAGACGUUGAACACACAAUUGAAAGUGGUAAUUGCUAUGAAAAGUAUGGGAAGUUUCACGUUAGAGCAACCAAACUUUCUUUGUGGAGUCAUGAAUUAACUAGGUUAACAUUUCUAAAUCCUUCAGGUUCGAACAUUUAUUCUUAUUCUCAUUAUUAGAGCUUAUUAUCUACUAUUAUUAGUGAUAGCAGCAGUAAUAUUGCCAGGUAUUACACUAAACAUUUUACUUGUAUUUGCUCAUUUAUCUCUUUCACAGCUUCUCUAAGAGAUAGGUAGGCUGCUGUUGCUGCUGGUUAUUAUUUAUACUGUCCUCAUUUUAGAGAGAUAAUCGGUCUGGAGAAAUCAAAGUAGCUUGCCCACUGGCACACAGCUAAGCGACAGUCCCAGUAUUCAAAUUCAGACUGUGUCUGAGGCCUCAGAGUGCUUAACCUGUGCCCUACAAACAUAACAAUAUGAAGACCAGAAUGCUGCCAUGAUCUUGAACGUGAUGGAUGAGAACAGUGGAGAAGAGUGGGUGGUUUGGGCCUGUAGAGGAGAAAAGCAAAGGCAGUUGAAAGUUUUCUGAAAGAGCCGUCCAUGGGUUAGACUUGACCUUUGAGGUUACCAGCAAGAGAAAAGCUGUGGAGAGACACGUUGCAAAUAUGUAUGGAAGAACAUCUCUAACAGUCAAAGUGUUUCCAAAAUGACAGCAGUCACCCGGAGAGAGUGAGCAUCCUGUCAUCAGUGUCAGAAGUUUAUUGGGGGUGCUUCAAAGAAAAGUCAUGUAGAAGUAGAAGACUAGUUUAUACCCUCUCUAAGUUCCCUUCCUGUUCUGAAGGGAGUCUGAAGGAAAAUUGAGUCCUACAGUAGUUAAACAACUUGUCCAAAGUCACCCAAGAAGUGAAGACCUGACCCCAAAACCAAGUCUGACUUCUAGACCAAACUUCCCGCUUGUGCCUGAGGGUCUUGCGAGUGCUCAGCUCACCAGUUUAAGCUCCUAUGAAGAAUCACUGACAAUUGCAGAGUUGAGCAAAGGAAGUGGAGAAGAAAGAGGUUAUCAUGAAGACGUGAGCGCCAGUUUGACCUGGGAGCUGGACCUGGGCGAUUGGAGGCUCCCCACUCCAACCCUGUGCACUCCGCUUGCCUUUCCUGAUCUGGAGACUUCCCCGGGGACACAGCCUUGAGACAGUAAUGUGGUGAUGAGACUACGUAGACUUGGUACAUGACUGGACUCUGUUAAGGCCUCCUGUGUACAUGGGUGACCCCAGUUAGGGUCUCUGUGUAAACUUUUAAGAUUUGGCAGGGGGUGGGGCGCUGCAGGAAACUACUUGUCUUGUAGUCCCCACGACAAGUCUCCUACAUUCACUUCCUUGUUAAACCUGCCACCUACCAACCUGGGGCGAUCUCCCAUUUUCUUCAGUCUCUCCCUGCCCUCUGUGCGUGGGGACUGGUUUCAGAUCACACCUGGGAAGCUCUGGAAGACCUUGCAGCUCAACAGCCUGUCACCACCAUGAUUUUUAGCCCCAUUUGGGGGAACUUCUUUGCUUUUACCAUAUUCUUUGUCAGUACUCCUUUGGUCCCAGUGCCAGAGAUCCAACUCAUCUGGAAAUGAUAAUGUCCAUUACAAAACCGAAGACCAGAGAACAAAAGACCAUAAUUGGGGGGAAGGGUUUUCAGGAACU